UGUAUUGUUAGUCUCAUCAGGCACUUGUAAGAAAAAAGAAAAUUUACCAGUUGAAACAAGUGUUCAAUCCCUAAUCUUCAACAUUCGCUUGGUUCGUUAAAUAACUGUCAAUGCCUUUCUCAUGUCGUAUGCCAGGGAGCUAGCUUCUUCAAUUGCACUGAAUUCCCCAUAUGAAUUACUUCUAUGAUUCAUUGAGGGAACUGCAACUAGAGAAUUGAAUUUUAAUCUCUGAAAUCUUUUGAUGGCUCAUUGAGUUAUUGAUCAGAAAAUGAAGGACAGACAUAAAUGCAGGAGACGUCAUUGAUCAACAUGUGAUAAAAGGGGAAUAGGCCUGAUGAAACUGUUGAAAAAUGAACCUAUUGUGGUGCGUGCAGACGUGACUCAAGUUGAAGAAACAAAGAAGAAACAAGAAAGUUCAAAAAUGGCUCAAGUUGAAAACACAAAGAAGAAACAAGGAAGAAGUAAACGCAUGACGCGACACAAACGUGUCUUGAUGAAGAAAAGAAAGAAAACUGUAGCAAAAUGAUGAAGAAGACAAGACGAACGAUCGCUGCAGCAAGCGCUGAGAAGCGGCACUGAACGUGAAGAAGAACGACAGCUGCGAUGAUGGAGAUGGUGGCUGCGGCGAGCGUCCUAAAUCGCAGAGUUCCAGUUUUAUUCAUUUUUCUAGUAUUCUAGUUUUAAAACAACUCUUAUUCAUAAGAGAUUUAGUUGAGUUAAAUUAGGGAAGUAGAACUUGAUUAGGAAUAUUAGUUCAUAAGAGUUUUGUUUGUAUUAACUAGGAAAGUAGACUUUGUUUUGAAG